CCUUACAAGCACGUUAAACAAAGAUGUCGCGAGUGGUUCUAGUGAUGGUCUUGAUGGUGGUCUUUUGCGCUGUUGUAGUACAUGGUUCUUCAGUGGGGGCAGGGAAUUCUUGUAUAAAAAAGGAUAAAAAUGGCAAUUAUGUGCCGGUACCUUGUAAUUACAAGCGAAGAGUUAUAAUCAGAGAGUCCAGGACUCAAGCGCAGAUGCCCCGAUUUAUGAUAAGAAGACAAGAAUACCACAAGAAGCAGAAGGAAAUGAUAGACAUUCCCUCUCCCAAGACUCAUUACACACGAAGGGAGCCCUUACCACAAAGAAAAGAUGAACUGAACAAUUACUAAACAAGCAAUAACUCCAGUUCUCCAACAAGUGAAACAAACACUGGCGUGUCUUGUAUGUUAUGACAACAAAGAAAAAAAUAAACAUGAUAGAAAAAUCAUA